UAUCCAGUAGCACCUUAGAGACCAACUAAGUUUGUUCCGGGUAUACACAGAACAAACGUAGUUGGUCUCUAAGGUGCUACUGGACA